GAUGAACGCUGGCGGCGUGCCUAAUACAUGCAAGUCGAGCGAACAGACGAGGAGCUUGCUCCUCUGACGUUAGCGGCGGACGGGUGAGUAACACGUGGAUAACCUACCUAUAAGACUGGGAUAACUUCGGGAAACCGGAGCUAAUACCGGAUAAUAUAUUGAACCGCAUGGUUCAAUAGUGAAAGACGGUUUUGCUUUCACUUAUAGAUGGAUCCGCGCCGCAUUAGCUAGUUGGUAAGGUAACGGCUUACCAAGGCAACGAUGCGGAGCCGACCUGAGAGGGUGAUCGGCCACACUGGAACUGAGACACGGUCCAGACUCCUACGGGAGGCAGCAGUAGGGAAUCUUCCGCAAUGGGCGAAAGCUUGACGGAGCAACGCCGCGUGAGUGAUGAAGGUCUUCGGAUCGUAAAACUCUGUUAUUAGGGAAGAACAAAUGUGUAAGUAACUAUGCACGUCUUGACGGUACCUAAUCAGAAAGCCACGGCUAACUACGUG
rnacentral:rRNA from 1 species